GAACAAUGAUGACAAACAUGAACACAACACACUAUCUUUCGGGACUGAUUAGUGCAUUCCAUAUGUCAUGGUGUCAAAUCUGCAAAUCUGAUGUUC